GCAACAGUGAUCAACAGCUACUAUUGUUUUCCUCCUGUCACCAGACUAUUAUGACUUGGCAGUUCUGCUGUCUCUUCGUUCCACUGUCAGUUCUUUACUUCCAACAGUUAAGAGCCACACAAAGUAAAUAAAUAAGACAGGACUUAGUAAGAAUUUAGUGCUAAUAAGAGGCAAGAAGUAAGAAAUUCUUCUCAUGGUUAAGUCUCUGGAACUCUACUCCCUGGAUUCAAAUCCCAGCCUUGUGAUUUUUCCGGUGUGUGAUCUUUAACAAGUAUUUAAUCUCUCUGUGCCUCAGUUUCCUCAAUUAUAAAAUUAAGAUAGAUUUUGUCUAUUUUAUAGGGUUGUUGUGAGGAUUAAAUUAGUGAAUACGUGUAAAGUGCUCAAAAUGGUGUCUGGUACAUAGUAAAUACUGUAAAAUGCUUUCUGCUGUUACCACUGCUGUUGUUACUGGUAUCAAUGUGACUGUCAUAUCGUUUUCUUCUAAUCUGUUGCCUUAUUUGACAUAGCAAGCCCUAAUAGAAGGCCUAGCAUCACUGGGUUCCAAAUCAGAAAGUCCAUGCAUUUUCAAACCUUAUAACAUGAAUUUUUUUGUUUAAAAAAGCCAGCAUCCUGGGGCCUACCCUCAUUAGGCCUUCUAUACCACUAAUAAAUAUAUCUUUUUAGGCAACCUAAGUAGUCUGAAGCAAGUUGUCUAUGGCUACAUUUUGAAAAACAGUGUUCUGUAGAAGUUUUACACAUACAUGUUUUUCUGGAUUCAUGCUUCUCUGCCAUUUGAAAGACUGUAGUUGUCAAUGAUAGACUGGAUUAAGAAAAUGUGGCACAUAUACACCAUGGAAUACUACGCAGCCAUAAAAAAGGAUGAGUUCAUGUCCUCUGUAGGGACAUGGAUGAAGCUGGAAACCAUCAUUCUCAGCAAACUAUCGCAAGGACAAAAAACCAAACACCACAUGUUCUCACUCAUAGGUGGGAAAUGAACAAUGAGAACACAUGGACACAGGAAGGGGAACAUCACACACCAG
rnacentral:lncRNA from 1 species